AGAGGUACCGUGAAGUGCACGACAUGCU
rnacentral:piRNA from 1 species